UUCUAACAGAGGCUCAUUAUUUCUCACUCCUCUAGAUGCGCCUCUUUUCUCCGUCUUCUUUAACUCCCCACCAAAUUGAAAUCUAAAACAAAUCAUAAGAAAUUACUAUAAUCAUUGCUGCUAAACCCAAACCUUUUCUCCAUCUUCCUGAUCUCCUCCACAAAAUCCAAGUUAUUCCAUGAACCCAAUCUAAUCCUGUAACCACUGAACAAACCAAAGGGGUACCAUUCAUUCCUCGUGAACCAUUUUCUUCUUUUCGUCUUUGUUGUUAACGUUUGUAACUUACCGAUCUUCUUGUAUUUUAUUAGAGAGUUUCGUUUUAUACAGUUUCUGUUCAGAUUUGAAAAGAAAUUAGGAAUUUGUUCUAGGAUUUUUUUAGGGUUUUUGUAAAUUGUAUUUGUAGAAAUUUUCAUUGAUUUUUCUUUUGAUUUCGUAUCAGAUUCUUUGGGUUGAGUUUCUGUGUAUUUCAAUUUCUGAUUUGCUUCACUUUGAAGCAUACAAGUUUUUUUGACUUUCUUCUUUGCUGAACUUAUUUUGAAAAACAUUAAAGUUAUUUUGAUUUACUUACUGUAUGCAUUAAACUUAUGGUGAAAUUUUGCUAAUUUCGCUUAGUUUUUAUGUUUUUAAAUUAUUAGUUAGUCAAAGGAGAUUGAGGAUAUGGCUAAGAAGGUAAAUGAUUUAUGACUUAUGUGAGACAGAGCAAGUUAUUUGGGUCGAGGGGACAAAUAUAGGCGGUGAAAGGUUCACCUAACCAAGAUGAGAAGCUGAAACCUGUUGGUUCAUGCCCAAAAAGGGAUUACAUUAAACAAAUGCAUAAGGAUAAUAGUGGCUCUUCGGAGGGUUAUUUCUGUAUUAUCAACUAGAAGAAUGCAAGGAGAGCUGUAAUAACACCAAUUUUAUUUCAAAACCAAGCUAAGUAUUAUUGCUCCAUUAGUUUUUUAUAUUGUAUCCAUAUGGUUCUUAGUAUUAUUGUGUAACUGUUGGUGGUUCAUAAAAUUCUUGUUUGAAAAUUCAGGGAGAAGUCCAAAUCAGCUGGAAACUUUGGCAAGGUUAUGCGCAUACCGGUGUGGUGUCUUUAGCCGCAUGGUUCUGCUGGGAAACAGUUUUUUAGUUAGCAUCAAGGAGAAUACAAGGAGGUGGAAAUACUGGAAAUGCGUUAACUUGUGAUGCUCGCGUGGGACUGAAAUCUGGAUUCUUUAUAAGAUACUUUACUCAUAUCUCCAUUCCAAGUUUGAAUUCCUAAGACCUUAUGCUGGUUUGCUGCUUGUGAGUGAAAGCAUAUGAGUUAUAAUCUUUUACCUCGUAACUUAACUUGGCCAGUUAAAUAAGCUCACUGCAUAGAGUUUUCGAGGCUUUUUGAGAGGAAAUGCUACUCAACUUGCUACUUUACGCCUCCAUUACAACACUUCAUAACAGUGCACCUACAUUCCAAGUUCGAGCCUUACAGGCAUGACCUUUGUCUGUUCAUUAGUUGAAGAUCUUAGCAUGUUGCUUAAGAAUCUUUAGUCUUAAGUCACGUACAUCUUUGGUGAAUAUAAUUGUAGAUGCCAAGAUGGUGGUGCUCUAAUGGCUUAGUCAAACAUCUACAAGCUCCCCCAUUCAUUUCAGACAUUGAAUCAUCUCUUAAUUACGCCUUUUUCGAACAAGAGAGCAAUGGCAUUUGCUCUUGGACUACUAGCUCUCAAGUUGAAGGAUCUUAGCAUGUUGCUUAAGAAGCUUUAGUCUUCAGUCAGUUACAUCUUUGGUGAAUAUAAUUGUAGAUGCAUAGAUGGUGGUGCUCUAAUGGCUUAGUCAAACAUCUACAAGAUCCCCCAUUCAUUUCAGACAUUGAAUCAUCUCCUAAUUAAGCCCUUUUCGGACACGAGAGUAAGGGCUUUUGCUCUUGGACUACUAGAUCUCAAGAUAAUAAAGUUUAUUCGUUGUUAAUAAGUAAUAACAUAAUCCAGAAAACAAAUGGGUGACCCAGCUGAAUGUUGAUCAUUUAUUUCCAGCAUCUUAAAGUCCUCCAGCAUCUUAAUAGCCAUCCAUAUCUCUGAUUCUUUAAUAUGUGCAUUGUAUCUCAAGCAUAACACUGGAAUAGUAACACCUUUAAUCUACAACUUAUCUUUUUUCUUGCUUUCA